GAUGAACGCUGGCGGCGUGCCUAACACAUGCAAGUCGAGCGAGAAGCUUUGAAAUGACGCUUCGGUUGAUUUUCAAAGUGGAAAGCGGCGGACGGGUGAGUAACGCGUAGGCAACCUGCCCUUUGCAAAGGGAUAGCCAUUGGAAACGAUGAUUAAUACCUCAUAAUGCGGGACCAAGACAUCUUGGACCUGCCAAAGAUUUAUCGGCAAGGGAUGGGCCUGCGUCUGAUUAGCUGGUUGGUGGGGUAACGGCUCACCAAGGCGACGAUCAGUAGCCGACCUGAGAGGGUGAUCGGCCACAUUGGAACUGAGACACGGUCCAGACUCC
rnacentral:rRNA from 1 species